UCUCGUUCCCAUCGAAGUCGAUGGAUGGAGUGUUUCUUGCUCUUGACCCGCAACUCAAAAGUCAAAUAUUUUGAUGAGCUGACCAAGCUUAGCUCUAGAAGAUUCCAAGUCAUCAGUCAAUCAGGAGACUUCCUGCUAAAGCUUGGCCUCCCAUUCAGCUACCGACUUAAGUUGCUUAAGGGCAACUGCCUUCUCAGCAUCAGCGGCCGCCACCUUAUUCAUUCAUGUCCAACGGAAGUCGUUGAACUUCACAUAACCGACUUCCAG
rnacentral:lncRNA from 1 species